rnacentral:rRNA from 7 species
GAGUUUGAUCUUGGCUCAGAUUGAACGCUGGCGGCAUGCCUUACACAUGCAAGUCGAACGGCAGCACGGGAGCUUGCUCCUGGUGGCGAGUGGCGAACGGGUGAGUAAUGCAUCGGAACGUAUCCUGGAGUGGGGGAUAACGUAGCGAAAGUUACGCUAAUACCGCAUAUUCUGUGAGCAGGAAAGCGGGGGACCUUCGGGCCUCGCGCUCUUGGAGCGGCCGAUGUCGGAUUAGCUAGUUGGUGAGGUAAAGGCUCACCAAGGCGACGAUCCGUAGCAGGUCUGAGAGGAUGAUCUGCCACACUGGAACUGAGACACGGUCCAGACUCCUACGGGAGGCAGCAGUGGGGAAUUUUGGACAAUGGGGGCAACCCUGAUCCAGCCAUGCCGCGUGAGUG